rnacentral:rRNA from 1 species
AUUGAACGCUAGCGGGAUGCUUUACACAUGCAAGUCGAACGAGUGGCGGACGGGUGAGUAAUAUAUCGGAACGUGCCCAGUAGCGGGGGAUAACUACUCGAAACAGUGGCUAAUACCGCAUACUCUUGGAGCGGCCGAUAUCGGAUUAGCUAGUUGGUGGGGUAAAGGCUCACCAAGGCAACGAUCCCGAGCUGGUCUGUGAGGACGACCAGCCAGACGGGGACUGAGACACGGCCCAGACUCCUACGGGAGGCAGCAGUGGGGAAUGUUGGACAAUGGGGGAAACCCUGAUCCAGCCAUCCCGCGUGUAUGAGAAGGCCUUCGGGUUGUAAAGUACUUUUGGCAGGGAAGCGGUAUCUGCAGAAGAAGCACCGGCUAACUACGUGCCAGCAGCCGCGGUAAUAC